AUGCUCGCUUCGGCAGCACAUAUACUAAAACUGGAAUGAUAUAAAGAUUAGCAUGGCCCCUGCAUUAGGAUGAUACGCAAAUUCGUGAAGCGUUCCAUAUUUAA